rnacentral:rRNA from 1 species
GACGAACGCUGGCGGCGUGCUUAACACAUGCAAGUCGAACGGAAAGGCCCUGCUUUUGUGGGGUGCUCGAGUGGCGAACGGGUGAGUAACACGUGAGUAACCUGCCCUUGACUUUGGGAUAACUUCAGGAAACUGGGGCUAAUACCGGAUAGGAGCUCCUGCUGCAUGGUGGGGGUUGGAAAGUUUCGGCGGUUGGGGCUGGACUCGCGGCUUAUCAGCUUGUUGGUGGGGUAGUGGCUUACCAAGGCUUUGACUGGUAGCCGGCCUGAGAGGGUGACCGGCCACAUUGGGACUGAGAUACGGCCCAGACUCCUACGGGAGGCAGCAGUGGGGAAUAUUGCACAAUGGGCGGAAGCCUGAUGCAGCAACGCCGCGUGCGGGAUGACGGCCUUCGGGUUGUAAACCGCUUUCGCCUGUGACGAAGCGUGAGUGACGGUAAUGGGUAAAGAAGCACCGGCUAACUACGUG